AUGUAUGUAUGUAUGUAUGGAUCCUGUAGAUAAAGAUGUAUUUCCAGAUUAAUUAUUUCACGUUAAACGUGCAUAGAGAAAAGAAUUCAACUAGAUUGGCCGGCCGGCUCAGACGCAGUUGAGUUUAUUUGAUAUGGGAUUUAACACCUUUAUAUUUUGCAAUUGUUUGACUUUGUGUUAACAUGACCUAAUCAGUUUAUUUUUAUAUUUUCUAUUUGGAAAUGUCAAGCAUUCAAACAUAUACAUCUUUAUAUAUGAUCAUUUGGUUUGAAUUUAAAAUUUUCAUAAACUUCCAAAUUGAUCUGAAGGGACGUGGUGGGAAAUAAUGAAUCUGAAGGGAUAUAAAUGCAAAUAAUGUCAUUCAUUUCUUUCAUAAUUGACUAGAUGGUUCUCUAUAUCUUGGUUAUAGAAAUAACUUGAAGCUUGAGAAAAUUGGCAGUUCUUAUUCUCUCUGUGUUACCUGUAUUAGUUAUCAAAAUGGUACAGUUUGUCUUGUAAUAGAAUUGCAUCUAGAUGCGGAGGCAUCGUUGUGAAGCCAACAGUGACGAUGAAGUUGUGGAACUAACUGAGGUGGAAGUCCUGUGGAACAAAUCCGACAAGUAAUUCCCCAAGUCAUCUGGUGAAUAUCUUACCAACAACUCCAAAUUUUUCUCCCCACUCUGCAUUACCAUGUAUGUGUCAUAAAAUUCUUGAUAUCUUGGUACCAGUUUCUCAAUUGAAACCUUUAAGUCAUCCCUCAAUUUCCUAUCCUCUACAAUCCAUGAUGUCUGUUUCCUGUAUGCCUCUUCAAACGCUGCGUUGAACAUUUUAAAGCAUUCCCUUGCCAUUUCCGGAGAUGUUUCUGAUGACUUCUCUGGUAAUGAUGAUAACACCUUUGUCCAGGCUGUGGAUUCGUAGUUUGAAGCGUACAGUUUAAACUUCUUCGUGUGUUCAGUGACCCAAUCUUCACCGAGGAGGAGUUUCAGGUUCGGUGUUUGCUGCACCUUCUCAACAAUGAAUUGAAGAUUGUUGGCAAGGAAGAGAUAUGACAGAGACGCAUCUUUAUAAAUUUCAGCUUUCGUGUCGAGCUUGCACAUAAGGACUAGAAUGAGCCAAGCUAGGUGGACUGACACUGCUGGUGUUGAACCGUCAUCUGCCAUUGGGCUCUUGAAGUGAGAUACUUGAUUCUUCGGUGGUGGAUAGUCAGCAAGGAUAUCAGAGAGAGCUCCAUGGUGGUCUGCUAAUGAAGAUACUAAAUUCAUCACUGAUUGUGUCAACGGGUGAAUCCUGCCACCAGAGGCUAGAAAUUUUGAUGAAUCCUUUUGAAUGGUUGAUUCAAAGACAGAAAGACUAGACUGGACAGAAUCUGAAAGUUUGAGCCACGAUGCCAGAGCUUGUAGUUUUAUUGCUUGGGUUGAUGCAGAGGUAAAUAUUGAUUCAAUCUCUGGCCAAAGAUUGGAGAAUACUUCGUAGAGUUCCAGUUGCCAGAAAAUUCUUUCCCGGCACUUCUUGUUCUUCACUAUGAGUUCCGGAAAUCUGAAUAGGGUGGUUGCUCCUCCUUUUGUUAUCUCAUAGAAGCAUGAGUCUGCGAUUGUCUCAGAUGCUGAAAACACAUGAUCACAGAGAACUUUUUCUCCAUGAAAUAGUGCUUUCACAGCAAUCUUCGCAGCAUCCAUCCAGUUCAUGAUUAUGUUUUCUAGUCCUUCCGAAUCCAUUUUAUGGAUUUGGGAAGACUUGAACUGUUGGAUUCCAAGGCGAUACAAUCCCUCAUCUACUAUUGACUUUCGGAUAACUUUGUAUAUCUUCACACACUCAUGACCAUAGCCGGAACUGAUCAUACAAUCUGCUAUGGACUUCAGAUCCGCCAUGGCGAGAGCCGAGACCCUCUCCACCUCAGUGAUCGACCCACCAACAAUUUCCAACUCUUCUGAUCCACCCUCGUCUUCACCAUUAAAUGUGCAUGAUCCGAUUGAGGUUCGACUUGAAACUGAUUCAGGGUCAAGGUGACGCCGGUUUGCAGACAAUAUCUCAUAAAACUCCCUUUCAAGCCUUUUCAUAGCUGUUUGCAUUAGGUUUUGAGCAAGCACGAGCUUGCUGGAUGGAGAGCUUUCAUGAACCAAAACAUGCAUAGCACUACGCAAGUCCUUUACGGAUUUGAGAAGCUGUUUGGCCUCUUUUCUGCUACUCUGGAAGAUAGACGUGAGUUUGGUGUAUGAGGAGGAGUUUGGAUCCCAUUUCGUGAUGAUGAAUUCAGCUGUUUCGAUGUUUUCCUCCAUCAUCGAAAGAGACAAGGUCGGGGAAGGUUUUGGACCGGUGGAAGUGCUUGAAGGUGUGUAAGAAGAAUGGUUUUUGACAUGCGAGAAGGAAAAGAGGCAUGACAUUCCUUUCCUUGGUGUGAGUGUAGUACUACCACUCUUCAGGUACUCGGAGAGCAUCAUUGAGCUGGGAAUGGUGUCGAGAGAGAGAGAAAGAGAGAGAGUUGAGCCGGGAAUGGUGUUGAAAGAGAGGGAGAGAGAGAGAGAGAGAGAGAGAGAGAGAGAGAGUUGAUUUUAUGGUUGUGGUUUUUGGUUCUGGAAGGGUUUUAUAGAGGAGAGCCGUCCGGUUUCCAGUUGAGGGAGGUGGAUUUGCUUAUUUGCUUGGAACCUUACUAUUUGACUGACUCUGGAUCUGAUUUUUCAAUAUAAUUAAUCAAGCAAUUUUUGCAUCAUAUUUUUAGUUUUUUUAAUUUUAAAUAUAUCAUGUUCAAUGAAUCAUAUGGUCAAGCUGCAUGCAUUCUUCUAGUUAGUCAAAUUUAAAUCCCUUUGCUUGUAUCCAAAUAUAUAGAGAUUUCGCUUUCUGUUGAAUAAUUUGAUUUAGUAGUCAAAUUGUGAAUCUGAAUUUGCUGAUUGAGUGAUAUUUUCAAUGAGCGAUCGUCUAAUUAGCAAUUUGAACUAGUAUCUGGCUUGCUCCAAAAUGCAACUGAUCGAUAUUGUUAAUUUUAGAUGAAGGUGGAGUUGUGGUCCUUUUGGAAGAGAAAAGAGCUAGGGUUGGUUCCACAACAACCGGGAAGCAACCUGGAAAGAGCGGGGUUUGAUUAGUUAAAACCAUUUUUCAAGUUUCCAGUUCGUCCAAACAAGAACCAAACUAAUUAUGACUGACUUGAUAAACUAGUGUUUACUUCUAAUGUCAUCAUUCUUCACGCGACUCAUAAAUGGACGCUUUUAGAAAGAUACCUUGCUCACCAAAAUGUUAAGAUAAAUGUUAAAAAUGGAUGAUCUGUGUAGCUAUCGGUGUGACUGUUAAUCGUUUAAUAUAUGUGAAUUCCACUUGAAUUUACUUUAGAGUUUGUUAACCAACACUCUCUCAUAGAAGUGGAUUCUUUUUUAUUUAUUUAUUUUAUGAAUAAACGAUAUUUUCUAUACUAAGGGAAUGGGAUGGGUUUAGGCUAGUAAUAAUGUGGUUCAAACCCGCAUUGGGCGAUAAUCGAACCUAAAACCUCUUCAUUACAAACGAAAAGGAAUACCACUAGAUCGUAAUAUUAAGUGGCCAUAGAAUUUGAUUCUUAAAAUAAGAAAAUAACAAAUACUUAUUUGAAAUAUAUUCCCAAAGACGGUGCAUCUUAACCAUAAAAAAAAUGUUCCUCACUAUUCCGACAAGUUCUCAAUUACGUAGAUAGGUAAGCUUAUCAAUUAUCGAUGGUGAAAGGCUAAUUAGAAUUUGUCAAAGGUAUGCACCCAUAAAUCAAAUAAUAAUUAUUAUGUGCACCUACAUUUGACUUGCAUGCAUGAUCUCUGAUCAACGGCUGAAAAUAUGAGAGAGAACCAGUCUCUGGGCUGCCACCAUUGUUAAUUAAACUUCGUUUAUAAUUAAGCAAUAAUGUUUACCAAAGCUGGCAAUGGGGUUGAUAAGAUAGAGGAUAUCAUCAGCGUGGAUUGGAGAGCUAGUUAGAUCUCCACGUACAAAUGCACGUGUAAUGGUAUGAAUUAACGAUAAGAUUGAUUUUUCAUAAAUUUUUGUGUUAUAAGUUAUAACACAAAUUAGAUUAAUAGCAUCACGUGACGUUAUUGACGAUAAUCAUAACCAAAGUCUAAAAUAUCGAUGAUAUCAGAAAUCGGUAGUCUAAAAACAUGGAAAUUUCGAUGGAAAUAUCGAGAUAUUAUCGAUAUCGAUAAAAAUUGAAUAAAAACCACGGAAAUUGUAAGAAAAACUUGGAAAUUUUUAUUGAAACUUUGCAUGAUGUUUAUUUAGUCAAUUAUCUAUUAGUUUAUCGCAAAAAAUUGGAAGGAAAUGCAUUGCAUGAUUGAUUUAACUGAUUUAAGUUGAUUAUAUAGCGAGCUGACAAACAUUGUGAGUGUAGAAAAUAUGUAGUAAUUAAUGAAAGAAGUUUAAACACACCAUAAUCAUUUAUAUAUAAUGAAUUAGUACAAUAUUUUACACUUUAUACAUUGCAUGGUAAGAUACAUGAGUAACUUAGUACCACAUAGAGUUCCUAUGAGAUUCAAAAUGUUCACUAUCUUCAUCAUCUCUAUGUGUAUAGUAAGUGUAUUUUAGCAUAUUUUCACAAAAACAUAAGUGAUAUGGUGGUCAAGGUGUUGAAUGAGUAAAAUGGGAGGGGUUCGAAUUUCCUUGGUGUUUUUUUAAAUAUAGAAAUUUAUCGUAGAUAAUAAAUAUUAACUUGCAAGCCUUGCAGACAUCUUAACAACCAUAUAAAUAUUAUAGGCUGAAUAUGUAAUCACAAACACAUAUGUAGUGAGUUGGAUAAGGCCCAUGUGCGUGGUUGGCAAAGGGAGGGGUUCGGAUUCCUCUAUGCGCAAGAUUGAGACUUUUCAGCAUUUUUCAAAUAUUUUUGGGUUUCAUCUCGCAAUAUUAUCGAUAAUAUUCUAAAAAACGCUAAGCGUUAGUCGGGCCCUAAGCGGAUUUACGUAAAAUUACUAUAUAUGUUAUAAAAUAUGAGUAUAUUUGUAAUAUUUUAGGGUUUUUUAUGUUGAUUUUGUAACAUUUACUUAGCUUACAUAUUUAAUUCAUUAUUGGACUUUGCUUUUUUUUAUUUAUUCAAAUAUUGGUCUUUGCCCUUCAAUUAAUAACAGCCUUGUUUUCUUAUAAAAAAUAAAUUUAUUCUAUAAUGCUACAGAUGAGGUAAAGAAAAGCAUUGUUUACUUAUUUCUACAGAUCUCUACCCACUUUAAUAUCUUAUCAGCCGGUGACCCUUUACACACAAACCCAGAAAAUCUCUCUCUCUCUCUAGUUUUACCAGAAACCUCUAGCAAGGCCAGAUUCAGAUGCAGAUGCAAGUUGUGAUGCAGGUGCGUCUGCGAGUCUGAUGCAAGUGCGUUUGGUGCAGAUGUUGCUGCGAGAGUUGGAGUUGCAGAUCCUAAUUCUUUAAUCUCUUUCCCUUACUCCAAAACCCAGAAUCGCCCUCUCUUUUUCGUCCCAAAGCCCAUCUGGGUCCAAAAGCCAGAGCUUUUGUUUUUCGACGAAAAUGGCGGUGGCAACGCAGGAGCGGGAGGAAACAGCGGGGGAUGGAGCCGGGGCGGAGAUGGGAACUCCGACGACUCGUCUUCGUCGUCGUCGUUAGUUUCGGGAUUCGGAGUUCUGGGUAAGUUUCUCAAUAGGUGGAGAUCCCGAGUCGCCGCCGAUCCGCAGUUCCUCUUCAAGGUUCUAAUGGAGGAGGUGGUCGGAGUCAGCUCCUGCGUCCUCGGUGACAUGGCUUCCCGGCCCCAAUUUCGGCCUCAACGAGCUCGACUUUGUCUUCUCGACUUUCGUCGUCGGAUGCAUACUCAAUAUCGCAAUAUUAUCGAUAAUAUCGCGACAUAUUGACGAUAAUUAAUUGGAUACGUAUGAAAAUAUCGUCCUCUCACAAAAACGAUAUUAUCGGCGAAAUAUCGUCGAUAAUAUCGAUAUUUUAUACAUUGAUCAUAACAGAAGACUUCUCCUUCUUGUUACCAUUUUCUGCUUAAGCAUCUGGUACAUAUAUUAAUAUUGCACCAUUACUCUCAUUCAAUUAUAUUCUAUAAUUCUAUAACAAGCCUAUUAGAGAAACUUACAUCUAACGAGUUUACCGUCAUAUGACGUUCUGGUCUAAUGAUGCAUUGUUAUGUAUUAGUUAUUUUCAAAUUAUAGACCUAAUUCCUUUGUACCGAAAUAGGGCCGGUCAUAUGACUUUGUAUAAAAAAAAAUUAUUUGUUUUCACACGUAAGAUGUCGAUAAAAUUAUACUUAGAAAAUCACUUCAAACUUAAUAAUUUAGAAACACAAAAAAACUAAUUUAUUUUGUAUUGUGAGAAUUAAACGAAAAAUCUCCAGGUUUACAAGUAGAUAUGAGUUUUGUUUUCCAUCUUAACUUUUAAAAUGUUUUUGCAUAAAUCGUGAGCUGUUUUUUCUUAUUUACUAACCUUGUCAAUAUGAGAGUAAAAAAAUAAUGAUGUUUUUGAGUCUUUAUUGAUAUGUAUAAGUAAUAAAUGGGUACUAAAUUAAACUUUUUAAUGACACGUCAUAUGAUUUGCAAUUUGAAAAAAAUUGGUCAACGCAUUACUCUUUGUUAAAGAUUAGACUUGAAUUGGAACAAAUAAGGAUAGGCAAAUACCUAUUGGAUAUGGGUAACCAUGGUUACCCGCCCAUUUAAAUUAAACGGUUACGGUUAUGGGUAACCGUUUAGAUAACUAAACGGUUAUAGGUAUAACUGCUUACCCGCGAAAUUUAAAUAGGCGGUUAUGGGUAUUAACCACGGUUAUAAACGGGUAACCGUUUACCCAUUUGUUUUAUAUAUGUAAAAUUAACACAAACCAUGCUCUCGAUCUAAUAAUACUUAGCGCCCAAUAAAUUAGCAAGGAAUUCAUCGGUCAUUCUCUCAAUAACACUGCUACAGGAAUGAUGAUUCUCAUCAUCAAGGAAUUCGCCAAAUUAAUUUAAAUUCUUUGCGGGUAACCGUGAGAUUGACAGAAAUGCUUUAAUAGAAAUGUCUUCUAAACAAUUUUUGUAACCCAAUAAUACUUAGCAAAUAUUAUAUUUACCUUCAUUGGUAACAGUUAAAAAUAUCGUCCGUAAACUAUUAUUUCAAUUAUUGGAAUAAUAUAAGAACUUAAAAAAUUAAAAUAUGGAAAUGUAUGAUGAAUGUACCUAUAACGGUGCUUUAACAAUUAAAAAUAUCGUCCGUAAACUAUUAUUGCAAUUAUUGGAAUGGUAUAAGGACUUAAAAAUUUAAAAUACGGAAAUAUAUGAUGAAUGUACCUAUAACGGUGUUUAAUUGUCAAAACAAAAAAAAUUUUGACAAUAUUUUUUUUUAAUUUUCAAGUUAUUAAAAAAAUGUAGACGGGUGAAAAAGGGGUAAUGGUAAAAAAAAAAGAAAGAAAAACGGGUUAAAAGGGGUAAAUGGAUAAACGGGUAUUAAACGGUUACGGUUAAAUGUGUAUGCGGCUAUGGGUAUGGUUAAUCGUUUAUAAACGGUUAUGGGUAUAGUUAUAACCGUUUAGGCAAUUACCCAAUGGGUAAACAGUUAUGCGGGUAUGAGCAUAAACGGUUAUGGGUAAAUAAUCGCAGUUACUUGCCCGCCAUAACCAUUGCCCAUCCCUAGGAACAAAUGUUUAAAAAUAACAACCCACAUAGCUAAUAACUACUAAUUAAAAUUAAAUUAUCAACCAAACAAAAAUUCGUAAAAAUUGAAAAGAAUAAACAUGGACUUAACAUUUCGAACUUAGGACCUCUCGUUAAUUUUAAACAACAAAAACCAUUGAUUUUAAUUAAACUUCUUGAUCAUUUAGCCAAAUUGUAUAAAUUUAUAUUCUUAUGAAAAGAAAUUUGUAAAAAUUGAAAGGUAAAUAAGCACCUAUGAUGUUUUAAACCCAAGAUCUCCUCAUUAAUUUCAAACAACAAAACCACUAGUUCUAGUUACAUUUCUUUGUCAUUGAACCAAAUUUUAUAAAUUUAUACUCUUAUGAAAACAUAUAUAAAUAUACCACCCUAAUAAUUGGUGCCCCUAAUUUUUUUGAAUCCUGGACGGUCGCCCUGAAAGAACUGGGUCUGGCCGGCCCUGACCGAAAUAAGAAUAUAGACCUACGUGGACUGACUCCCACGCAGGCAGGCAGAUCGCAUAUAUUUUAGAUGUGCAAAUCUCGAAUAACGAACCUGUCACUAUAUACAAGUAUAGUGUCUUCUCAAAUAAACCAAAUAAGGGAGUUCAUGAAGAUCUCCUCGUUAGAUUCAUUCCUUGCAACUUUCAAGUCCUUGUUCUACCACCAGAUAUCCACUCGUUUCUCUUUUAUUCAACUACUAUCAUCUAUAAGAUUUGAAUUCAUCACGUCCUCUAAUAUAAAGUGGAAACUGAAUUUCGCUAGCCUAAAUUUGAUCUGCAAAACCCAAUUAGUUGGAAGUAAGUAUUAAUUAUUCACAAAUUUUAUACACAUGCUGAAGUGAAAAGAGAAUGGUGACAAAAAUGACUAAUGGUGCGACUCAGAUUCUAUAGUUCGAGUAUCACAGUGAUUAAGCUUUGAUACAGUUCACGGAUCAUUACUACAUUCAAACAUGAAAAGACCAAGUAGGUCACAAGGAUUCUUGAUUAAGGUAAGUAAUUAGCAGAGAAUGAGAGGAGGAGACAGUUUUAAAUUGGAUCAUGGUUCCAACCAAGCAUGCAAAUUAACUCAGAAAAUUUACUGGGUCGCAACAGCGACUAAUUCAAAUACUAAUCAGAAGCACAUAUUUUAAUCAGAAGCGCCAAUUUUUGUUUUUGCCAUUUAUGUCAAUUAGAUGCUUGGGAAUCAUGGUGGGGUUUUGUUUCUGAACAAAAUUGAAUAUGGGGUUAGAAGAGAUGAGAGAAUUUGUAGACCGCAAACGUGAGUUAGGCUAGUUGAUUAGGGCGGUCCACCCACCGAGCACGAAUUUCGAAUCGCCCUUGCCUAUUGGACUAGUUUUAGAUAUUCUUUUUUCUUGUAAAAAAAAAAAAAAAAAAAGGACUGAAAAAAAAAAAAAGGACUGAAAUUUUGAGAGCAAUACUAGCAUUUUUAGCUCUUUAUUGCUUUAAGAAGAUGGAACAAAAUGAAACCAUUCUUGUAAGUUAGAUGCCCAUUUGGUGCAAGGAUCUGUAAUCAAGUAGCAUAUGGCUGGAUGAGGGACCAGAUAGGCUGGAUUCCAUACUCCUAAGUAAUGCAUCUGUUUUUUUGCUUCUUACUAUUAGGUUUCGUUCGGGGCGGCUUAAGUAGGAAGCAAUUAUGUUCAUAAGUGCUUUUGUAGAAGUAUAUUUUUAUUUUAAAAAAUUGAAUUUUUAUGGAAGUGCUUCUUGAAGAAACAUCUAACAGUUACUUCUCCAUAAGGGCUUCUACGACCUAGAAACACUUCAAUAUUUUUGUAAAAUACAGUUGGAAGUGUUUUUGGUUGUUAGAACAUGCUUAUUGCCCUUUAAAAAGCAGUCUCAAACAUACCUCAAUCUUUCAGAAUACUUAUCAAAAACUAAAAAUUGGAAUGUACAUUUAUAAACAGCUUAUUUUGAAUUUUGAUUGAUAGAAAAAUAAGAUUUGGCAAUAUCAAUAUGACAUUUUUGAAAAAACGGGUUGAGGGUGGAAACAAAAAGAUAGUUUUUGACAUUUUUGCUUUGUCUCCUUACUGGAUGGAAUGUUUUCCGUAUUGCAUCGAUGAGUGGAAUGUAUGUUUUGGUGUUUAGAUGAUGGUCCAGGCUCACUUCGUGAAGGAUGCCGAAAACAAUAACCACUCUGGAUUGUCUUUGAGGUUUCUGGCACCAUUCACCUUUCAUCUUACUUGAGCGUGUCGUCUUAUAAGACAAUUGAUGGACGAGGUCAAAGGAUAAAGCUCACGGGAAAGGGACUUAGGCUGAAGGAAUGUGAGCAUAUAAUUGUAUGCAACCUCGAGUUUGAAGGUGGUAGAGGACAUGAUGUUGAUGGCAUUCAGAUUAAACCGAACUCUAGGCACAUAUGGAUAGACCGAUGCAGCCUUCGUGAUUAUGAUGAUGGACUCAUAGAUAUCACCAGACAAAGUACAGACAUAACUAUCUCUAGGUGGGUUUAAACUUAUGCCCUAUAAUACGAUAUAAAUUUGGAUACUGAUAUAACCUAUCUGAUAGUUUCUCCUUCCCUUUGAACCAGAUGUUACUUUGCACAACAUGACAAGACGAUGCUUAUUGGAGCGGACCCCUCGCACGUUGGUGACAGAUGCAUUCGGGUGACAAUCCAUCAUUGUUUUUUUGAUGGAACAAGGCAAAGACAACCUCGUCUUAGAUUUGGGAAAGUUCAUCUUUACUACAAUUACACUCGAAACUGGGGUAUAUAUGCCGUUUGCGCCAGCGUAGAAUCCCAGGUUAAUGAAACUUCGUAACUAUCUCCUUGAUCUUUAGAAUCUAUCUGAACUGCAUUAUCUAAUUAAGUUGUUUAUAUCAGAUAUACUCUCAAUGCAACAUUUAUGAAGCAGGGAAUAAGAAAAAAACCAUUGAAUAUUAUACAGAAAAGGUGUUAGUGUUUUUGACAAUGGAAGAAGGAGGAAUGCACUAAGAAUGUAAAUGGCUGCUAUUUAUUAACAGAGAGGAAGAAAAGAAUAGCUUGUGAAAAACUAGAGAAAAGAAGAAGCUAAAGAGAAUGAUGAACUCUUCAAUAUAUGUUUUGGGAGAUGAAAAGAUCAACCCAAAUGCCUUACACAUUUCGUUUAUGUAGAGAAAACUAAUAGUUACAAAAGUACAAUACUACCCUUCUCAUAUUCUUUAUCUUUCUAACAACCCAAUCCUACUUAACAAACUUACAACUGUAUAACCGACUAUUUCAACUGUAUAACCAACUAACCAACUACUAUGGUUAUUACUCCCCCCUCAAACUAAGCAUGGGGCAAUCGAGCUUAGUUUGCUGCACAAUUGGUGACAAUCCCAAACCAAGAAACCGGCAAUGCUUCAAGAAAACAGGACUAUGUAAUCCCUUGGUGAAUACAUCAGCAACCUGAUCAUCUGUUGGAAUAUAAUGAACACUGAUGUCACCUUUUUGUACCUUUUCUCGAACAAAAUGGUAAUCUGUAUCAAGGUGUUUGAUCUUAGAAUGAAACACCGGAUUAGAACUUAAGGCAAGGGCUGACAGAUUAUCACAGUGAAGAGCAGGAGGACUAGGAAGAAACUGAUGAAUAUCUUUGAACACAGAUCGAAUCCAUGACACAUCAGCUGCACAGUGUGCCAAAGCUUUGUACUCAGCUUCAGUAGAACUUCUGGAUACUGUAGAUUGCUUCUUGGAUUGCCAGGAAACAGGAUUAGAGCCAAUAUAAACCAGAAAACCUGAAAUUGAUCUUCUAGUAGUAAUAUCUGCAGCCCAAUCAGAGUCUGAAUAGGCAGUGAUGUGGAAAUUGUCACUUUUAGUAUAGCAUAAACCAUAGCUGAUGGUUCCCUGAAUAUAUCGAAGGAUUCUUUUGACCAGAUGAAAAUGUGCAUCAGUUGGUGCUGUCAUAAAUUGACACACCAUAUUCACUGAAUAAGCAAGAUCAGGCCUUGUAAAAGUCAAAUACUGAAGGGCACCAUCAAUACUUCGAUAUUGACUUGGAUCAGAUAACAAUGUACCUUCACCAGCAAGAAUCUAUGUGUGUGGCUUGGAAGCAGUAGACGUGGGCUUACAGGACUCCAUGCCUGCCUUUUUCAACAAGUCUGCUGCAUACUUGGAUUGGUUAAUAAACAGAGACCCAUCAUCAUUGUAAUGAAUAUGCAAACCCAAGAAAUAGCUCAAUCGGCCCAUAUCUUUAAGAUCAAACACUUCUGCCAAGUUGUCGAUUAUGCCUUGUACCUUUAUGGAAUUGGAACCAGUAAGGAUGAUAUCAUCCACAUACAACAGCAACAAAAUAAUAUCUUCAUUAUCAGUCUUGACAAAUAGACUUGAAUCAGAAAGAGAAGGUGUAAACCCAAGGGCUGGAAGAUAGCUUGUAAACUUGGAAUUCCAAGCCCGAGGAGCCUGUUUUAAACCAUAGAGAGAUUUCACUAAUUUGCAAACAUGAGUCGGAUUCUCCUGAUCAACAAAACCUUGGGGUUGCUGCAUAUAAACCUCUUCUUCUAACUCACCAUGUAAAAAUGCAUUUUUUACGUCCAAUUGGCGCAAAGACCAACCAAACUGAGCAGCAAGUGCAAGUAUAAUCCUGACUAUAGUAUGUCUAACAACAGGACUAAAAGUUUCAGAGUAGUCAAGACCAUGUUCCUGUGUAAAUCCCUGGGCAACCAAUCGGGCCUUGAAUCUGGAAAUAGACCCAUCUGGAUUCUUCUUGAUCUUAUAAACCCACUUACUACCAACUAUCAUUCGAUGUGAUGGAAGUGGAACUAAAAUCCAAGUCCCCUGAGCUUUGAGAGCGUCAAAUUCCUCCUGCAUGGUAGUCUGCCAUUCUUUCUUACUGGCAGCACCUUUGAACGUUUUUGGUUCUUCAUGAUCAGAGACAUGAGCCAGAAAUGAGAAACCAGCUUGAUAUGGAUGUAAACAUUGAUUAUCAGAAUUACAAUCCAGUAGUUGUAAAGAAAACAACUCAUGUAGGAAGGCCAGAUAGUUAGAAUAACUUUGCCUCGUGAUUGUACCUGUUUGUAACCGAGUCUGCAUCCCAUGGGAACGUAUCGGAACAUUAUCUGAUGCACUAGAUGAAGAGAAAGCAUCAAAAGGUAGAACUACCUGUAACUGUGCAGGAUUAACGACAGGAAGCAAGGGAAGUGUAUCAGUGUGAAAGGAAAUAGUAAAGCCUGUUGUUGAUGCCGAUUCAAUUGCCUGAGAAUCUGAGACAACGGCAGUAUCAUUGUGUGAGAUAGAUGGAGACUGAUGUCGACUUACAUUGACCUCAGCUGAACUAGAAUCUUGUGCAAGCACUUAAGACUCAUGAAUUGGACUAUUGACAUGCUCUCUGUGAUAUAAAGAAACUGGUAUAAUCACUGGUGUACAUCUCUGGGAAUCAUGACUUUGGACCCCAACUGACUGAACUGCCUUAGGUAAUUUCCCAGGAAAACAUGAUUCAUCAAACACAACAUGUCAAGAUAUAAUACACUUCCGAGAAUAGCCCAAAAAUAUACACAUAGCAGAUCUGGCUUGCAAUUUAUUUGUAGCAUAUGGCCUUAACCAAGGAAACACAGUUGAUCCGAAAAUCUUGAUUGAGUGUACAUCAGGGAUUUUCCUAUAUAGCAUUUGAUACGGAGAGGACAAAGAAAGAAACUUACAUGGCAUUCUGUUAAUCAAGAAGACAGAGUGUGCACAUGCAAAAUACCAAAACUCAGAAGUUAAACCAGCAGCAUUGAGAAGUGUGAUUGCAGUUUCAACUAUAUGGCGAUGUUUCCUUUCUGCCACUCCAUUAUGUUGUGGAGUAUAUGGACAAGAAAUGAAUGGACUUAUACCCUUGCUAGCUAGAAAAUCAGUAAAAGCUUUACUAACAUACUCUAUUCCACCAUCUGUUUGCAAACCUUUAAUGUGCACCCCAAACUUAGUAAGGACAAAAUUAUAAAAUUGCACAAAGAUUUGAAACACAUCUGAUUUAUUACUCAUCGGAAAAAUCCACACAUAUCUGGUAUAUUCAUCAAUUAGAGUUACAUAGUACCUAUAACCUUAUAAGGACUUCACAGGAUAAGGACCCCAAACAUCCGAGUGUAUUUUUUCAAAUGGAGAAGUACAAGUAACUGAUCUAAUUGGAAAUGGAGUUCUAGACAUUUUCCCUUGAAUACAAGACACACAAACACUAGACUUACUAUCUCUAUCAGCCACAAUAUUCGACUUUUGUAACAUACAAUUCAUGAUUUCAGGAGUAGGAUGCCCUAAUCUCUGAUGCCAUGUAUCACAUUUGAUAGCUUUACCCACAUACUCAACUGGACUACUUGUAAUAGACUGUACUCCUCUCUGCCUUUGCACAAUCAGAAUCUGGAACAAUUCUUCAGGCUUACUCUUUCCUUGAUACACUAUUUCCCUUGUCUUCUUGUCCUGCACAAAGAAUUCAGAUUCAUCACAUAUAAACCAGCUCUUAUUGUCAGCACAGAGUUGUUUCACAGAUAAAAGACUUCGCGCAAUAUGUGGAACAUGUAAUACUUUGUUGAGAAUAAGAGAGUGAUUGUUAGUUUGUAAAGUAGUGGACCCAAUAUUUUGGAUUGAUAGAUCAGUACCAUUGCCAAUAGUGAUUUUGUCAGAACCCUCAAAAGGUGUGACAUGAUUCAAGGAAUUAACAUCAGCUGUCAUAUGAUGAGAUGCACCGGAAUCAACAAUCCAGGCAUUUUGAGGAAUAAAUGGCGUGGUUUGUUGAGCAUGCAUUGCAGACAAUGAUGAGGGUGGAAGCUGCCCUUGAUAUGAAUAAUUGCUUAUUUGAUAACAAUCAAGUGCUGAAUGUCCUCUCUUGCCACAGAUUUGGCAUUCAACAACAUAGUUGGAAUUAGUAGCAUUGACGUUCCUCUGAUAACAGUUGGCUGCAGUAUGCCCCCUUUUGUUACAAAUUUGACAUUCUAUCACAGCAUUUGUCCUUGUAGAAGUACUCCCAGACCAAGAAUUAUUACAAUUUUGCCGUGAGUUGCUUGAACCAUAUCAUCGUCCCCUGAAAGUGUUAUUAUUCCUGUAAUUAUUGCCUCUGUAUUGACUCCCAUGUGAUGCUCGAGGCCCAAAUUGGGCUCCCACAUUAAGCUGUGCAGCAUGAUUAUUUGGAUCACUAGGAUGACCAAUAAAACCAUAUCCAUACGACUCACCAGGAUACAUAAGAGAUUGUGAUGGUGGAAGAUAUCCUGCUGGAUAUUGUGAAGGAACAGGAUAAACAGGAUAUUGAAAUGGUGGUAAAGGCAAAGACUGAUGUACUGAAUUUUGUGGACCCUGAGAAGUGGAACCAUAUGGCACCGCAGUAAUUGUUCCCGCAGUACUGGCAGGAAUAUGAUUAUGUGCCUGAGAAUUCGAAGAUGAAGCUGAACUUGAACCAGUGCUUAAACUCGAAACUUGAACAUAUAACGCAGACAAAUUCUGACAAAACAUUAAACUCUCCUUCAAUCUCCCUUUCUGCCCCCAAUAGUUGUGCUCUAAAUUCUUUUAAGGAAAUAGACGACUCUCUGGCCAAAAUAACUGUACGAAUAGUCCCAUAUUCCUUUGGCAAACCAGCAAGACCAGUAAUUAUUUAUGUCAUUGUCAGAUACAGAUUCACCUGCAGCAGUGAGUUGAUCCGUAAUACCUUUCAACUUCAAGAGAUACUUAUCAAUUGUAUCAGACCCUUUUUGAAUGGUAUGUAACUCAGUUUUGAGAUGGUUGACUCUAGACUUAGAAACAGAUGCAUAUCUAUCAACCAAAUUGACCCACGCCUCAUGAGCAGUCCUACAACCAAGAACAUACUCCAUCGCAACAUCAGUUAAAGUGGCAAGAAGUAAACUAAGCAACGCCAUAUCUGUAGACUCCCAAUCCAUAAACGCCUCAGUAAUCUCCUUUGUAACCCCAGCUUCUGGAUUAACCACAUACUUUGAUGGACACAUAGUUGUGCCAUCGAAAUGACCAAACAAUUUAUACCCCCUCAAAACAGACUGAAAUUGAAACGCCAAUUUGGCAAAAUUAUCAUCUUUUAGUUUGAUGGUAAGCAUACCUAGUAUUCCAUCGACUUUAAAAGUUGAACUACCCAUGAUUAUCUUUAAACAAUAACAACUAAUGAUCAAUUGAGAUUAUGCACAGAGACUGACACUUUGAGAAGAAAGGAUAACACCUUCUUGAACACACAAAUUCUUGAUUUAGAAGGAAUGACACCUUCUUGAAUGCAUGAAAGAAUGACACUUCCAGCAAAACAACACUUUCUAAUUAUCGUAGCAAAUCAACAUAUACAAAUCAACAAAAGAACCCAACUCUAUCAAAUCAUUACUCUGCUUAAAUGGAAGAAGCUAAAGAAUCAGAAACCACCUGAACCGAAAAGAAAACCAAUCUUGCUUCAAUCGCACACCAAUAAAGCAACGAACAGCCACCAAACCGAACCCCCAAUGAAGCGACGAACAGCGGAGCACACCAGGAUCACAAUCAGUGACUAAUGCACACCGGCGAUGAUACCAUAUUAACAGAGAGGAAGAAAAGAAUAGCUUGUGAAAAACUAGAGAAAAGAAGAAGCUAAAGAGAAUGAUGAACUCUUAAAUAUAUGUUUUGGGAGAUAAAAAGAUCAACCCAAAUGCCUUACACAUUUCGUUUAUGUAGAGAAAACUAACAGUUACAAAAGUACAAUACUACCCUUCUCAUAUUCUUUAUCUUUCUAACAACCCAAUCCUACUUAACAAACUUACAACUGUAUAACCGACUAUUUCAACUGUAUAACCAACUAACCAACUACUAUGGUUAUUACUAUUCUCUCUGCAAGUCGCAGAGGAACCUUUUUGUAAAAUUAUAUAUAUGUUUCUCUCUCUUUUCACACACAACGUGAAAAGGAAUAAUUCAGUUAACAAAGCCUGGCUGGAUCUUUCCUUCUAGUUAAAAUGAUCACAGCCACUCAUCUAGCAAUAGCUAGGAUCAUCACACAUGGCACUCAUGGCCUUACAUAUUUUGAUCUUAUACUUGGCAAUUUCUAAGCACAAGUGGAUACACAAUUAAAGACAAGAUUAUUCUCAAAUACUAAUCAGCUCAUGGCUUAUAGUUGAACACUCCCCUUUAAGCUUUGAGCUGAUUUGACUCCAAGCAAACCUCUGAGAUAGCUGAAUCGAUCCUUAGCCAAAGGUUUUGUGAAGAUAUCGGCUAACUGCUCUUUUGUAGGACAGUAAACUAGAUCAAUGAUUCCUUAUUGCAGAGCAUCUUUGAUAAAAUGGUAUCUUCGAUCAAUAUGUUUAGUCUUCUGAUGAAACACCGGAUUCUUUGUGAUAGCAAUUGCAGAUGUGUUGUCACACUGCAAUGGAGUGGCUUCAGUUUGAAGUUCCCCAAAAUCUUCCAGUACAAACCUAAGCCAGAUUGCUUGUGCAGUCGCCUCUGAAGCACUAAUAUAUUCUGCCUCAGCAGUUGAAAGUGCUACACAUGUUUGUUUAACUGAUGCCCAAGAGAAAAUCCCACUGCUAAAAGAGAAGGCAUAUCCUGAAGUGCUCUUACUAUCAUCCACUGAUCCUCCCCAGUCACUGUCACAGAAACCAAUCACCAUAGAGUUUGUACCUUUCGCAUACUCCAGACCAUAGUCUAAUGUUCAUUUAAUGUAUCUGAGAACCCUUUUGGCAGUUCUAUAGUGUUUGUUUGUGGGAGAAUGCAUGAACCUGGAAAGUAGACUUGCUGCAUACAUUAUGUCUGGUCUUGUAGCUGUAAGAUACAGUAAACUCCCCACAAUCUUUCUAUAUUGUUCUUCAUUUGUUGGACCACUUCCAUCAUCCUUACUAAGUUUUUUAGCUGAAAUCAGUGGUGUAGACACAGACUUGCAUUCAUUCAACCCAAAUUUAUUCAACAAGGAAGAGGCAUACUUCUUUUGGUGAAUAAAUAUGCUGAAAUUAGUUUGAAUGACUCCCAUUCCUAGAAAAUGGUGAAGUAGACCCAAAUCAAUCAUCUCAUAUUUCAUCAUCAUGUCCUCUUUGAAUUUUUCCAACAUUUCUUUGCUACUACCUGUGUAGACAAUAUCAUCUACAUAGAUAGACACAAUUAUGAUAUCCUUUUCUCCCCUUGACUUGAUGUACAAUGUUGGUUCACUGAGACUCUUUUGAAAACCACACUGGGAGAAGUAUGCAUCAAUUUCUCCAUACCAGGCUCUAGGUGCCUGUUUCAGUCCAUAAAGAGCUUUAUGAAGCCUAUACACUUUAUCUUCCUUGCCUUGCACUGUGAAUCCUUCUGGUUGGUCUACAUAUACUUCUUCCUGUAGUACUCCAUUUAGGAAGGCAGAUUUAACAUCAAGUUGAUACAACCUCCAGCUCUUUUGAGCAGCUAAUGCAAUGAGGGUUCUGAUAGUGUCCAGUCUAGCCACUGGAGCAUAGGUUUCGUUAUAGUCGAAACCAGGUUUCUGAGCAUAACCUUUGGCAACCAACCUUGCCUUAUUCUUCAAGACUGUGCCAUCCAGAUUCAAUUUGGUUUUAUAGACCCAUUUAACCCCAAUAACAGGCUGCAUUGUUGGUCUAUCUACUAAUUCCCAUCUACCAUUCUUUUCAAUCAUGGUCAACUCAUCCUGCAUUGCUCUUAACCAUGAUUCAUCUUGAGCUGCUUCUGCAUAUCUUUCAGGCUCCAUAACACACAGAUUGCAUUGAGCAAAAAUAUCAUCAAGAUUUCUCCAUUUCAGAGGUGUGUGGUCAUAAGCAUCUGAAAGCUUUGCAGAUUUAGGAGUGCAACUUUCUUGUUCUUGUGUAUGAGAAGGAGAACUAGGGUUGAGAGAACUUCCUUCAAUCACACUCAUCUCAUAUGAAUUCACACCAACUACAUUUUCAGGUUGAUCCUGAAUGUAGGUUGCAGCAACUGAACCUUGUGAAUUUUCUUUCCAAUUCCAGGUCAUAGAUUCAUCAAAGACUACAUCUCUUGACAAGAUUAACUUGUUAGUACAUGGAUUAAAUAUUCUGUAUCCCUUCUCACAUGUAGCAUAACCCACAAAUACACCUUUAACACUCUUAGCAUCUAGCUUCUGUCUUGUCUCAGUAGGUACAUGUACAUAGCACAGGGAACCAAAAAUCUUGAGAUGUGCUAUGCCUGGUUUUCUGCCACUAUAAGCUUCAAAAGGAGUUGUAUUUCCAAGUGCCUUUGUAGGACACCUAUUUAGAAUAUAUACAGCUGUGUGUACAGCUUCAGCCCAAAGAACAUAUGGCAUACCUCUAUCAUGAAGCAUAGUUUUUGCCAUUUCAACCACAAUUCGAUUGUUCCUUUCCACCACUCCAUUCUGUUGAGGAGUAUAAGCCAUGGUGAGUUGCCUUUGAAUGCCUUCAAUUUCACAGAACUUAGUGAACUCAGAAGAUAAGAAUUCUCCACCUCUGUCACUCCUUAGACUUUUAACUUUGAAACCACUCUGCAGUUCCACCAUUGACUUGAACCUUUUGAAAUAAUUGAAUGCAUCAGAUUUGUAUCUGAGAAAAUACACCCAAAUCAUUCUUGUACAAUCAUCGAUGAGUAACAUGAAAUAUUUGUUUCUAGCCAAGGAUGCAUUCUGCAUAGGACCACACAAAUCAACAUGAAUAAGUUCCAGGGGAUAGUUUGCUCUCCAGGAUUGUUUCUUUGGAAACCAGUCUCUAUGUUGCUUUCCAAAUUGACAUCCUUGACAUACAUCUUUGAUUUCUUCUAGGUAUGGAAGACCAUGCACCAUAUUUUUCUCACUGAGUUGCUGCAACCCCCUGAAGUUCAAAUGACCUAGUCUUCUGUGCCAAGUCCGAGUAGAGUGAUCUAUGCUCGCUUUCAGAACCAACUGAUUGUCGUGCAACAAAGAAAGAGGAUAGCAACGAUUUUCCUUCUUCUUGACCUUGAUGACAAGAUUGUCAAGUGAAGGUCCAUCAAAUACACUACAUAAACCUCCUCCAAACACUAGAUAAUAUCCAUGCUCAUCCAUUUGACCUACACUCAACAAAUUUUCCUUCAAUCCUAGCAAAUGCAUGACCUCUCUAAUGUACUUCUUCCCUUUAUUAGUAUCAAUUUCCAAUGAGCCCAUUCCAGCAACAUUUACUAACACCCUCGUAGGCAUUUGCACCUUUCCAGCAACAUUUGUUCUUAUAUCAACAAGGAGAUCAGCAUUCCCUGUCAUGUGGUUACUACAACCACUGUCAAUGUACCAAUUUCCAUUGACAUUUUUCUCUGAAAUUGCACUAUUAGCAUAGAACAGAUUCCCUGUCACUUCCACCUGAUUUGCAGAAUUUGCCUUUUGCACAAUCUUCCCUAUAGUGCAUUCUCUAGCCCAAUGACCAAACUUAUCACAGUUAUAACAUUUGGGCUUCCCUUUAUAUCUACAUUCACCAAAAUGGAACUUAGAGCACACUCUACACUGUGGUUUGGUACUCUCUUGACCCAUUAACUGUGUCUGGUAUGAAUUGGAUGCAGGGCUAUUGAGAGGUCUCUGUUGAAAUCGAGACUUUGGAUCCCAUUUCUUUCCCUUGGGAUUCCAAUUCUUCUGAAAUUUUGAUGAACCAGAUUGAGCUCCACUCAUAUUCUGCCCUUGUGGACUCACUGAGAAUGAUGCAAAUGCCUUCUCAGUGGUAUCAACAUUAUGUAGAUCAAACCGUUGUUCUUGAUUCUUCAAGAUUGCAACAACUUCCUGCAAUUCUACAGUCUCUAGACACUUUGUAUUUUCUAUAACCAAACAGAUCGAAUCAUAAGGUUUACUUAGGCUUAUUAGAACAUUCUGCACAAGUCUCUCAUUAGAAAGAGAUUCACCAAAUGUUCUCAUCUGAUUAAUUAAGUCAUUCAGCCUUGUGAGAUAACUAGACAAGGAUUCAUCAUCUCGCAUUCUAGCAUACUCAAAUUCUCUUCUAAGAUUUUGAAGUUUUACAGAUCUAACCUGAUUACCACCAUGGUAUUCACCGUACAGUAGAUCCCAUGCCAUCUUGGCUGAGUCAGCGUUUGCAAUCCGAGGAAAGAUCUGAUCAGAGACUGCGUUUUGUAUAAUUCCCAGAGCCUUUGCAUCUCUCAUUAGCACUGCCAUCAUUUCUUCAUCACGAUCGUCUUCCGAUGACCCUUCAGCUUCCUUCUUCUUCUUCUUUGAAUCAGGUGUUGGCAAUCCCUUUUCUACCAGAUUCCAUAACCCAAUGGAUUUGAAGAUUGUUACCAUUUUAAUUCUCCAGAACUCGUAUUUCUCACCGUAGAAGAUUGGAGUUCUCACCUCCGAGCCUCCAGAUCCAGACAUCUUGCAAGCCUUUCGUGAGCUUCGAUUGAGCUCAGUGACCUCACAGAUUUACGCCCAGAUUUUAAAUGGCGCAACCUGGCUCUGAGGCCAUGUUAGUGUUUUUGACAAUGGAAGAAGGAGGAAUGCACUAAGAAUGUAAAUGGCUGCUAUUCUCUCUGCAAGUCGCAGAGGAACCUUUUUGUAAAAUUAUAUAUAUGUUUCUCUCUCUUUUCACACACAACGUGAAAAGGAAUAAUUCAGUUAACAAAGCUUGGCUGGAUCUUUCCUUCUAGUUAAAAUGAUCACAGCCACUCAUCUAGCAAUAGCUAGGAUCAUCGCACAUGACACUCAUGGCCUUACAUAUUUUGAUCUUACACUUGGCAAUUUCUAAGCACAAGUGGAUACACAAUUAAAGACAAGAUUAUUCUCAAAUACUAAUCAGCUCAUGGCUUAUAGUUCAACAAAAGGUACAUGACCAUCUCUCGCUCAUUUUUUUGAUAGUUUGAUAUGAACAAGAAGAACGUAGGUUCAUUAUAUCCACAGUAGCAUUCUAUUCUGAGGCAGGGUACAGUGACAAAAAAGUCACAUGAAACUUUUUAAUUUCAUACCGUCUGGUAUUUAUUUACACUGAAAGGAAUAUAAGCUAUUUGUACAACUUACAUCCCGUUUCUGAGUAGACAUUCUUUUUCAAAUGUAUAUAAUCUUCCAAUAGGCAGCAGACAGAGAAGUGGCAAAGUCCGGCUUCAUAAUAUCCGAGGGCGAUCUAUUCCUCAAUGGAGCUCAACCAUGCACAUUGACAGGGUUCAGUGAAGAAUGCCUGUUCCAUCCAAGUGAAUUUUAUCCACAGUGGACUAUGGAAGCAGCCUCAGAUUCUCUUAAAGCCAUUCUCCAAAUUCUUACUGGCUGGCAAUCCAUUCAUCGGCCAGCAGAGCAGGCGGUAACUGUAUGAUUUUAUGUUAUCACUACAUCUGUAACAGGAUUUUUUAGGUUCUAUAACAGAAUAGUCUUUGAUUAUAUUUUUAAUAAACUCUAGCAGAUUUGCUAUCUGCUGUUGUAAUACUUACGAGUUUGUCAAUUUGACUUAUUAAACCCUGACAAAAGUCAUUCUGUCGUAGCUUAAAGACAGAACCUAUCAAUUAUGAUAAGCACUCCAUAACACACAUGCCAUGUUUGUUCUCAUGUAUGUAUGUAUGGAUCCUGUAGAUAAAGAUGUAUUAUUUCACGUUAAACGUGCAUAGAGAAAAGAAUUCAACUAGAUUGGCCGGCUCAGGCGCAGUUGAGUUUAUUUGAUAUGGGAUUUAACACCUUUAUAUUUUGCAAUUGUUUGACUUUGUGUUAACAUGACCUAAUCAGUUUUAUUUUUAUAUUUUCUAUUUGGAAAUGUUAAGCAUUCAAACAUAUACAUCUUUAUAUAUGAUCAUUUGGUUUGAAUUUAAAAUUUUCAUAAACUUCCAAAUUGAUCUGAAGGGACGUGGUGGGAAAUAAUGAAUCUGAAGGGAU
rnacentral:lncRNA from 1 species